CCUACGGGUGGCAGCAGUGAGGAAUAUUGGUCAAUGGGCGCGAGCCUGAACCAGCCAAGUCGCGUGAGGGAGGACGGCCCUACGGGUUGUAAACCUCUUUUGCCGGGGAGCAACGGGCGUCACGUGUGGCGCCACUGAGAGUACCCGGAGAAAAAGCAUCGGCUAACUCCGUGCCAGCAGCCGCGGUAAUACGUAGGUGGCAAGCGUUGUCCGGAUUUACUGGGUGUAAAGGGCGUGCAGCCGGAGAGACAAGUCAGAUGUGAAAUCCACGGGCUCAACCCGUGAACUGCAUUUGAAACUGUUUCCCUUGAGUGUCGGAGAGGUAAUCGGAAUUCCUUGUGUAGCGGUGAAAUGCGUAGAUAUAAGGAAGAACACCAGUGGCGAAGGCGGAUUACUGGACGAUAACUGACGGUGAGGCGCGAAAGCGUGGGGAGCAAACAGGAUUAGAUACCCCGGUAGUC
rnacentral:rRNA from 1 species